GAUGAACGCUGGCGGCGUGCUUAACACAUGCAAGUCGAACGAUGAAGCCCAGCUUGCUGGGUGGAUUAGUGGCGAACGGGUGAGUAGCACGUGAGUAACCUGCCCUUGACUCUGGGAUAAGCCUGGGAAACUGGGUCUAAUACCGGAUAGGAACGUCCACCGCAUGGUGGGUGUUGGAAAGAUUUAUCGGUCAUGGAUGGACUCGCGGCCUAUCAGCUUGUUGGUGAGGUAAUGGCUCACCAAGGCGACGACGGGUAGCCGGCCUGAGAGGGUGACCGGCCACACUGGGACUGAGACACGGCCCAGACUCCUACGGGAGGCAGCAGUGGGGAAUAUUGCACAAUGGGCGAAAGCCUGAUGCAGCGACGCCGCGUGAGGGAUGACGGCCUUCGGGUUGUAAACCUCUUUCAGUAGGGAAGAAGCGAAAGUGACGGUACCUGCAGAAGAAGCACCGGCUAACUACGUG
rnacentral:rRNA from 1 species